rnacentral:rRNA from 1 species
GACGAACGCUGGCGGCGUGCUUAACACAUGCAAGUCGAACGGAAAGGCCCUGCUUUUGUGGGAUGCUCGAGUGGCGAACGGGUGAGUAACACGUGAGUAACCUGCCCUUGACUUUGGGAUAACUUCAGGAAACUGGGGCUAAUACCGGAUAGGAGCUCCUGCUGCAUGGUGGGGGUUGGAAAGUUUCGGCGGUUGGGGAUGGACUCGCGGCUUAUCAGCUUGUUGGUGGGGUAGUGGCGUACCAAGGCUUUGACGGGUAGCCGGCCUGAUAGGGUGACCGGCCAGAUGGUUCCCGAGGUCUCGCCCAGUACACUCCUGGGGCCCGCAGUGGGGGAUAUUGCACGAUGGCCUGACCCCUGAUGCAGCAACCUCGCGUGCCCAAUGGCUGCCUUCUGGUUGUAUUUCGCUUUCGCCUGUGCCGAACCGAGAGUGACAGUCACGGGCCUAGAAGCACCGGCCCUCUACGUG